GAUGAAGAACGUAGCGAAAUGCGAUAAGUAAUGUGAAUUGCAGAAUUCCGUGAAUCAUCGAAUCUUUGAACGCACAUUGCGCCCCCUGGCAUUCCGGGGGGCAUGCCUGUCCGAGCGUCAUUUCUGCCCUCAAGCACGGCUUGUGUGUUGGGUGUGGUCCCCCCGGGGACCUGCCCGAAAGGCAGCGGCGACGUCCGUCUGGUCCUCGAGCGUAUGGGGCUCUGUCACUCGCUCGGGAAGGACCUGCGGGGGUUGGUCACCACUAUAUUUUACCACGGUUGACCUCGGAUCAGGUAGGAGUUACCCGCUGAACUUAAGCAUAUCAAUAGCGGAGGA
rnacentral:misc_RNA from 1 species